UACGAAGGGUGCAAGCGUUAAUCGGAAUUACUGGGCGUAAAGCGCGCGUAGGUGGUUCAGUAAGUUGGGAGUGAAAGCCCCGGGCUCAACCUGGGAAUUGCUCUCAAAACUGCUGGGCUAGAGUAUGGCAGAGGGUGGUGGAAUUUCCUGUGUAGCGGUGAAAUGCGUAGAUAUAGGAAGGAACACCAGUGGCGAAGGCGACCACCUGGGCUAAUACUGACACUGAGGUGCGAAAGCGUGGGGAGCAAACAGG
rnacentral:rRNA from 1 species